AUAAAAGAUAUAUAUAAAUAUUCCUGUUAUUUUCCCACAAAUUCUCCUCAGAUGGGUCUUGGUCUGCAGGUGAGACUAAAAUCUGUGACUUAAAUAACACAGUACAAUAAAUGUAUGUGUAAAGUUGACUGAGAUUUUUACAAUCUCACUCUGUAGUCACAUGGACAGAUUUUGGACCUUGUCUAACCAAAGAACUUAAACAAAGCCUUUUAUGUUUAAAUAUGAAGCUCAUUAAAACAAACAUACAACCCGAGGAGCUGUUUAAACAAGCUUUAAAGACUGCUGGAGCCAAAGCCUCCAGUUGAUUUCUUUCCCACUAAAACUCUGGCUCCCUCUGCCGUCAGGUUUUAGUAGUACACCUUCAGCUCGGUACUCUCGCGAGACUUGCCAGGGAGUCGUGUGAUGGCUCUUGAAACUAUAACGGCUUGGUAAUUGAGUGUUUGCCUGAAGUUUGUUUACACAAAAAUGUAAACACACAUUUACGUGUAGACUGAUCUGUCCCGUCUGGAAACUUGUACUGAGGGAAAAAGUCUCCAUUAUGGAAGCUCUCAUCCUCCCCUCCAUCGCUCUGUCUCUCCUCCUGCAAUCUGUUAUGAAGCAUUCAUUGGCUGCUGAUCUUAACAGGGGACGGGCCAUAUUAAAAGGAGGCUGAUUGACGGGCUGUUUGGCCUCCAGCUGAGAAGGAUUGUUGUCUGGCUGUGGGACGAGGUCAGAGGUCACAGUCCAGAGAGCAGGAGACAGAAACCAGAUCACAACAGACGGCUAAUUAUCAUGCAUUGUUGCUGGGCUCCUGCUGGGACUCCGCCUUCACUUUCACCAACAGGUCACAGUGAAAGCCCUAGACCUCCAACAUUUAAAACCUGUUCUCAACUUGAGGGUGUGGACCCCCUGAGAGCUUCGAAGGAUACCUGGAGGGCUCGAAGCCAACCCUUCAUCACAAGCAGUGAGCAGCCUACCUACAGUAGAUCAAUCUCAAAAUCAAAACCAAGCUCAAGACUCAGAAUAACAUAAUGUUCUCAAGUGUCCUUCUCAGGCAAACCUCAGACUUUCAGAAAUUCACAUUAUGAUUUUAGGGAUUCUAGUGAUAUUCUUCUUCUAAUUUAAAAAUAUAUCUUUAUCUUUGUUAUGAAAACCUCCUGGAAGUUACCUCCAAUUACUAAGUGCAAAUUGGCUGUAAAUGUAAAAUAUCAACAGAAAAUUCAAGUAAUUGUAGUUUCCAGCUCCCUACUUAUUUGUCUGUGAAGCUGACAAAUAUGCAUGAAUCAAAUAAAUCAGUUGUACUUUAACAAUUUCUAAUAGUCACAGAGGAAACGGCGCCAUCUACUGAGCAAUAGCAGUAACUGCCACAGAUAUUGUAGACGUGAAUAUAACUGAACCAUCAUCCAGAAUGAAUGAAAAGGUGUAAUCACUGGCACUACUUUUCCACACUCUGUAAAAAAAAAACAUUGUUUGAUAUCCUUCCAAGUAUAACUAAUGUAUCCGCUCUGACAUGUACGGGCGUGGCUGAUUCAUAUCUUUAUUAGGAAGUAGUUGGUUCACUUCUGAUAACCAAUAAUGGGAACUGAAGACAAGCUUUAUUUUUAUAGCACCUUUCAUACAGGUUAGUGCAAUUCCUACUGCAUUUCAGGUGACUGACAAGCUGAUAAAAAAACAGAACAAAUAUAAACAGUAAACUAUGAUGGCGUAAUAGGGCUAUUGUUGGUAAAUAAAAUUAAAUAAAAUUACAGACCCGGGGGAGGAGUCGUAAAUUUCUAAAUCAGUAUGUUGUUUUCUUCUGAAUAGGCCUAAUUCACGACAAUGUAUCAUCAAAGUCCAGAUGAUUAUGAUAAUAUGGUGAUUAUGGGCUAAAAUCACGAGUAUUUCCUUAUUGCUAAAUCUGAUUGCAAAGUAUGAUUUGAUUAGGUGAUCCACUGUAGGCAUAAUACACAGCAAGCGACGGUGACUGUGUUGUGAUGAGGUUGAUCCAACCUUGCAAAGUGAAGCAAUGUGGUUCCUUGACCAAAAAAAACACAAUUUUUCUGAUUUUUUAAAUAUUUUUUAUAAUCUCAGAGAAUAUUCAAGUUUAUUCUCGUAAAUUUACAACUUUAAUUCUGAGUUUUUUCUCAGAAUAUUACCCCCCCCCCUCCCCGCUUGGAUCAAUUUUCAAGUCAUGUUGGAAGAGGACAACAGUUGAUGUGUGCACAACAAUGGUUGCAGUAUGCUCAUAUAAAAUAAAUAUGCAAACGGAGGUAAAUAAAUUGGUGUAUUAUUACUUGCUUUGGAAGCAAGUCACAGUGGGAAAGUAACAUCGGGCCGCACAGGAAAUGGGCAUUUGUUUUUUGAAAGUGUUUACCAAUAGUUACAGGUAUCCAUGACGAAAGAGAGGCAAACAUACAAGCAUUGCAUGCAAGGCCUCUAUUUCAAACCAAAUAUCGCUUCUAAAAAUGUUUUGUGUGUGUUGUACUGAAUCUCCACACUGGAAAAUGACAAAAUUAAGCAAACUUUAAAAUGCCAGCAUCCACUCUAAAAAGAUAUGAUCAGUGUAUAAAAUAUGAUACAUUGUUACAGAUUUAACUUAAUUAAUUUAACUAAAAUUAGUUCGACCUUGACCAGCUACAACAUUAAAAUGGUGCUUAUAUAUCAGCACAUCAAUAAUAAUAAUACAAUAAUAUAAUCGCUGAUUUUAUAAAAUUAUAAUCCUCUAAAAGGGGCUGUUCUACAUAAUUUUAAUGGUGUUGGGAUUGCUGAUGGGGUGUUCCCUAGUGGGAAUUUAGUAUUGUUCUUCUGUUGUUUGUUUCGUGGGGGGUUGUUAUUUUUUGUUUUGUUUUUUAGUUUUAGAUGUGGUCUUUUUUUGUGUCUUUUUUUUUGCAAAGUGGAAGGUUUUGAUUUACUACAACUGAUCUUUUAUCUCUGUAACCUGCGUGUCUAGUGGCCUCCGCCCAGGGACUACAGAUGAAAAUGAGCUUUUAGCUAUAUCUGGUAAAAUACAUAUAUUGUGCAUUGUCCCUGCUAAAUAAACAAUAAACAAACAAACAAAUGACAAUGUGAAAACAAUGUGUAAGGGGUCGCUCAUAAUG